rnacentral:miRNA from 1 species
UGAUCAAAACAGGAACGAAUUCAA